UGCAGUCGAACGGCAGCGCGGGGCAACCUGGCGGCGAGUGGCGAACGGGUGAGUAAUAUAUCGGAACGUACCCUGGAGUGGGGGAUAACGUAGCGAAAGUUACGCUAAUACCGCAUACGAUCUAAGGAUGAAAGUGGGGGAUUCGCAAGAACCUCAUGCUCCUGGAGCGGCCGAUAUCUGAUUAGCUAGUUGGUAGGGUAAAAGCCUACCAAGGCAUCGAUCAGUAGCUGGUCUGAGAGGACGACCAGCCACACUGGAACUGAGACACGGUCCAGACUCCUACGGGAGGCAGCAGUGGGGAAUUUUGGACAAUGGGCGCAAGCCUGAUCCAGCAAUGCCGCGUGAGUGAAGAAGGCCUUCGGGUUGUAAAGCUCUUUUGUCAGGGAAGAAACGGCCUGUUCUAAUACAGUGGGCUAAUGACGGUACCUGAAGAAUAAGCACCGGCUAACUACGUGCCAGCAGCCGCGGUAAUACGUAGGGUGCAAGCGUUAAUCGGAAUUACUGGGCGUAAAGCGUGCGCAGGCGGUUUUGUAAGUUUGUCGUGAAAUCCCCGGGCUCAACCUGGGAAUGGCGAUGAAGACUGCAAGGCUAGAGUUUGGCAGAGGGGGGGUAGAAUUCCACGUGUAGCAGUGAAAUGCGUAGAUAUGUGGAGGAACACCGAUGGCGAAGGCAGCCCCCUGGGUCAAAACUGACGCUCAUGCACGAAAGCGUGGGGAGCAAACAGGAUUAGAUACCCUGGUAGUCCACGCCCUAAACGAUGUCUACUAGUUGUCGGGUCUUAAUUGACUUGGUAACGCAGCUAACGCGUGAAGUAGACCGCCUGGGGGAGUACGGUCGCAAGAUUAAAACUCAAAGGAAUUGACGGGGACCCGCACAAGCGG
rnacentral:rRNA from 1 species